GAUGAACGCUGGCGGCGUGCUUAACACAUGCAAGUCGAACGGGAAAUAUUUCAUUGAGACUUCGGUGGAUUUGAUUUAUUUCUAGUGGCGGACGGGUGAGUAACGCGUGGGUAACCUGCCUUAUACAGGGGGAUAACAGUCAGAAAUGGCUGCUAAUACCGCAUAAGCGCACAGAGCUGCAUAGCUCAGUGUGAAAAACUCCGGUGGUAUAAGAUGGACCCGCGUUGGAUUAGCUAGUUGGUGGGGUAACGGCCCACCAAGGCGACGAUCCAUAGCCGGCCUGAGAGGGUGAACGGCCACAUUGGGACUGAGACACGGCCCAGACUCCUACGGGAGGCAGCAGUGGGGAAUAUUGCACAAUGGGGGAAACCCUGAUGCAGCGACGCCGCGUGAAGGAAGAAGUAUCUCGGUAUGUAAACUUCUAUCAGCAGGGAAGAUAGUGACGGUACCUGACUAAGAAGCCCCGGCUAACUACGUG
rnacentral:rRNA from 1 species